rnacentral:ncRNA from 1 species
UGGAGCCGUAUGACGCGAGAGUGUCACGUACGGUUCCUUUGAGAAGGGUGUGAGAGUCAUCGGUUCAAAUCCGACAAAGGGCAUUUUUAUUUUCUACAAAACUCCAGUCUUAGUCUUUAUUUUUCGGUAGAGGAUAUAUACAUUUUUGAAAAAAAAAGUUAACCGCAUUAUGUGCUACUUCAU